UAUCAAUAAGCGGAGGAAAAGAAACUAACAAGGAUUCCCCUAGUAACGGCGAGUGAAGAGGGAUCAGCCCAAAUUUGUAAUCUGGCUCUUUUCAGAGUCUGAGUUGUAAUUUUGAGAACUGUUUUCUGCUCUGGACCAUGUACAAGUCUGUUGAAAUGCAGCAUCAUUGAGGGUGAGAAUCCUGUUCAUGAUAUGGACUACCAGAGCUUUAUGAUAUAGUCUCUAAGAGUCGAGUUGUUUGGGAAUGCAGCUCAAAGUGGGUGGUAAAUUCCAUCUAAGGCUAAAUAUUGGUGAGAGACCGAUAGCAAACAAGUACCGUGAGGGAAAGAUGAAAAGAACUUUGGAAAGAGAGUUAACAGUACGUGAAAUUGUUAAAAGGGAAACAGUUGAAGUUAGACUUGUUGUUGUUGGUUCAGCUCUUUUAAGGGUGUUUUCUAAUAAUUAACAAACCAAUGUCAAUUUUUGGGUGUUGGAUAAGGGUUAUUGAAAUGUAGCAGUUUUGGCUGUGUUAUAGUCUUUGACUUGGAUACAAUGCUUAGGAUUGAGGAUUGCAGUAAGCCAUUUAUUUGGUGGAACAAUUUAUUGUUCUUCUUGCUGAGGAUAUUGGUGAAAUAGCUUUAAUUGA
rnacentral:rRNA from 1 species